rnacentral:rRNA from 1 species
GUAACACGUAGGUGAUCUACCUCCGAGUGGGGAAUAACAACCGGAAACGGUUGCUAAUACCGCAUAAUACCUGCAAGGGUCAAAGCUUUAGUGCUUGGAGAGGAGCCUGCGGCAGAUUAGCUAGUUGGUAAGGUAAUGGCUUACCAAGGCGACGAUCUGUAUCCGGUCUAAGAGGACGGUCGGACACACUGACACUGAAUAACGGGUCAG